rnacentral:lncRNA from 1 species
UUGUAUGCUAUUGUUGCUUUCUUCUCGUAUUCCUUUGGAAUUUCAGUUUGCUUUCUAUGGUGUACCUGCUCUCUUUCUAUAUGCCCUUUGUGUGAAUACUGGGCCAAGUUACAUCUUUUGGGUCGUCAUGCUAAUCUACACAGAGAUAUACAUUUUAGUCCAGUAUCUUUAUCAAAUAGUUAUUCAGCAGUGUGGUUUCAGCAUCCAGUCAACUACUCUUCAAGAGUUGGGUUUUCCUACAAAACGGAUAACAUCUGCUUUUGUAAUAAGCUCGCUACCGUUAUUUCUGGUCUACUUGUUUACCCUCUUACAGAGCUCUAUAACAGCAAAAGUUGGUGAAUGGUUUUCUCGUGGAUACAGUAAUUGGAAAAGGAGACUCUUGGACCCAAAGGAGGACCUCGUGGCAUCUGGGUGGAGUGAGAAGGCGAACAAGCUCUUCCUUCCCAUAAACAAUAUGGUGAAAAUGGUGAUGAGAGGCUGUUGUAGGUAUUGGAAAUCACUAACACAGGAGGCAGAAUCGCCACCGUACUUUGUCCAGUAAAUAUGGUGAAAAUGGUGAUUAGAGGCUGUUGUAGGUAUUGGAAAUCACUAAAACAGGAGGCAGAAUCACCACCGUACUUUGUCCAGUUGUCCAUGGAUGUCCACAUGUGGCCAGAGGAUGGAUCCAACCGGAGAGGAUUGAAUGUGGAAUAAAUCAAUUGCUAAGGCUUAUGCAUGAUGAUAGAUGCAAAAACCAAAACCCCAGCCAUUGUUCUUGUUCUAGUAGGGUCCAAAUUCAAAGCAUUGAAAAGAGUAGUGAAAAUCCAUACAUCGCAUUGGCUGUUUUCGAGGUGGUUUAUGCCUGCCCAUCGACAGAAUGUACACCUGAACAGUUCAAGUCACUCACUCCAGCUGCUGACAUAGCAAAAGAGAUUCGUGGAGCACAAAGCAUGGGUCUUGUUGAAGAAGUUGGAUUUCCAUACCCUAUACUCUCCAUUAUAGGUGGGGGUAGAAGGGAAGUUGAUCUUUAUGCUUAUAUUUUUGGUGCUGAUUUGAGUGUGUUCUUCUUGGUUGCUAUUUUCGACCAAUCUGUUAUAGAAAAACAAAAGCGAGUUUUUGGAUGUUUCACAACUUGAAGAUCAGUUUCCCAAGGAGUUUGUAUUUAUGUUGAUGGUAAGCAUUCUUACAUUUGUAUAUUUCAUGCGUUGCAGAAAAAAGAUUAUUAAAAAUACUAUCAGUGUUGUGGGGAAAACCAGAUGGGAAUAGCCUUAAUCAUGGAGAAAAGUUAUUUGACUGCACUGGUCAAAGCUUCCAAUUCUGACCAACUCAUAAAGAAUGUAGAUCAGCUGUCCUCUAUUUUUCUUGCAGUAUUUGUUUAGGUUUUAUAUACAUAUAUUAGCAGAAUUGCAAUUCUGAAGUAAUAGACUAAGGAUUCUUGUACUCCAUUUUGAUUGGCAGGAGCUGAAAUAGUAUUAAAGCAUAAUAAUUGGCCGUCUCUGAUUCUCUUCUACGACCUUUCUGCAGGCAAUAUUCUUCUUGAUUGUGGUUGAUCGCGUCAUAUACCUCUGUUCAUUUGCCACAGGAAAAGUGAUCUUUUACAUUUUCAAUCUCAUUCUUUUUACAUAUGUCAUCACGGAGUAUGCUUGGAAUAUAGAUGCACAGCAAAGUGCUGCUGGUUUAGCCCUCCGUGCAAUAUAUCUAACUAAAGCAAUAUCUCUGGCAUUGCAAGCCAUACAAAUCCGGUAUGGUGUUCCACACAAGAGCACGUUGUGUCGCCAAUUCCUCACAAGUAAAGUUACUCAAAUCAAUUAUCUAGGCUACAGGCUAUAUCGUGCUCUCCCUUUCCUGUAUGAAUUGCGGUGUGUGCUGGACUGGUCUUGCACUAAAACUUCAUUGACAAUGUACGACUGGCUCAAGGUGAGAUCAUCUAUAUCAGCAAUCCCCUAUUCCUUUGGAAUUUCAGUUUGCUUUCUAUGGUGUACCUGCUCUCUUUCUAUAUGCCCUUUGUGCCCAAAAAAAAAAAAAGAAGAUUUAAAAAGCUGGUUUAGCAAGUCUGUUUACGACAAUCCCUAAUUAGAUAACUGUCUAUCUUAACUCGGUGUAACAAUGUCCAGCUCAUCUCUGCUUUGUUUAGCACCUACAAGCAAUAAAAUUUUAAAGAAGUC